CUGUCGGACGAGCACGCCAUCAAGCUGCCCCUGGGCACCACCGGGCCGCCGCCGUACGGUGCCAUGCGCCAGGACCCGGAAGGCGGCCAUCCGAGUCCCGUCAUCAAGGAGAAGCAGAGCCAUGCAGGCGACCGCAACAGCCCCACCUCGAAGGCGACGCCCAUCCGGGCCACCAGCCACUGCCGGCGGAGGUCGGCCCAGCCGCCGCCUCACCGGUCACGACCGGCAGCUCGCCGGCGGGGUCACGUGACCCGGCCCAACCCCGAUAGAAGCACCCCGACACCAAGUUCUGUUGGCGUAGCUCUUCGUGCUGAUUAUUAACAAUGGCAGGCAUGCGCGGGCUGACAGGGCGGCAUGCGUGUACGGCUGGCAUUUUGGCGUUUGCUCUGUUAAAUCGUCUGCCUCAGACUCGCACCUCCUGUCUGUGACCGAUCGAGCCGACCUGAUUGGUCAGUCAGUCGGUCUGACCUGGCCGGUCCGUCCAGGUCAGGUCAGGGACGUGUGGAGUCAGGCGAAAGGCACGUGUGCUGGCAGUCAUUCGGCGCACAACGUACUGGUGGAAUAAAACUGAGCGGCUUAUUUUUGUGCGUCAUGUUACGUCAACGAGUGUCAAGAGUUUAAUGUGGUAUAGUAUUUGUGGCUUUCACAGACUCCCCUGAAAUUUGUACUCGUCUUGCACUACAUUGUACCUCGUGGGGGCCUACGCACAAGCUGUGCACUUUUCCUGCAACAAGGGAAUUUCCUUUUGCAUUUUCCCAUCAGCAUCGGUCCAGUACCUAGACUACAGCGAUACGUGCGUGCGCGAACCGUGUAGCAGGUGUCAAAGGGCGUGCGCGACUCUAGAACAGGGACCGGUGCGCAUGAGUUAUGCGACUUGGCAUCUGCAGACCACAAUAUCUCCGGUACUAGCCACGGCUCGCACUCGGACUCAGGUGUGUAUUGCGGUGCGCAACUUGACCGAGCUGGUAUCACUACCAGUUACCCGUUUUCAUAUUCGCUAUUCCGGUUUGGGAACUAUACCUGCGUCUGCACAAAACAUGUUAUAACCACAGGAUGUCACGCGAAUCUGUUGAUUUUGGUUGUUGACUGCUCCAAACUGUGGUGUUUUGAAUAUAUGCACGUGUGCACGUGUGAAUAUAUGCAAUUUAAGUGCUGAA